UACGAGGGGCCCAAGCGUUAUCCGGAAUUACUGGGCUUAAAGAGUUCGCAGGCGGCUUGAUAAGUAGGGUGUGAAAGCCCUCGGCUCAACCGAGGAAUUGCGCUCUAAACUGUCGUGCUCGAGGAACCUAGAGGUGAGCAGAACAGAUGGUGGAGCGGUGAAAUGCGUUGAUAUCAGCUGGAAUACCGGAGGCGAAGGCGGCUCACUGGGGGUUUUCUGACGCUGAGGAACGAAAGCCAGGGUAGCGAACGGG
rnacentral:rRNA from 1 species